rnacentral:piRNA from 1 species
UGGUGACCCUGGAGCUCUUGUCUUCCAUA